rnacentral:rRNA from 1 species
UGAGGAAUAUUGGUCAAUGGGUGCAAGCCUGAACCAGCCAUCCCGCGUGAAGGACGACUGCCCUAUGGGUUGUAAACUUCUUUUGUAUAGGGAUAAACCUACCCUCGUGAGGGUAGCUGAAGGUACUAUACGAAUAAGCACCGGCUAACUCCGUGCCAGCAGCCGCGGUAAUACGGAGGGUGCAAGCGUUAUCCGGAUUUAUUGGGUUGAAAGGGUCCGUAGGCGGACUUAUCAGUCAGUGGUGAAAGCCUGUCGCUUAACGAUAGAACUGCCAUUGAUACUGUGAGUCUUGAGUAUCUUUGAGGUAGCUGGAAUAAGUAGUGUAGCGGUGAAGUGCAUAGAUAUUACUUAGAACACCAAUUGCGAAGGCAGGUUACCAAGAUAUAACUGACGCUGAGGGACGAAAGCGUGGGGAGCGAA